AUGGCAUCCAAGUAUCCUAUGUUUACUGCUGACCAUACAGGAGCUGCAUCAUCAUCGUUGGUUUACGAAAAGUAUGAGAGCACUGAAGGCAAUGUUUUCAAGGAUGAUGCAAUUGACGUGAAGAGUUACAUACAGAUAAGGCAUGCGGUUGCUAUGGCGCCUAACAGUGCAGAGGCGGAGGGUAAAAUGGAGAUUCCAGGUGAAAUUGUUAACAGUAAGGCCUACAGGACUGCUACAGAAACUGGGAAGAAAAUUGGUAGAACAAUUCUCAAAGGAAUGCGGAAGAGUGAGCUUGCUGGUCUGUGUUACACUGAUUUCAGCAUUGCAGACGUUUUUGUCAGUACGUCUGGAAAGGCCAAGCUGAAAGGAGUCCGGCGCAUCAAGUUUUGUAUGACGCAGCAAUUUAACAACUAUGGCGCAGUGUGUGCAAUCAUGACGGAGCUAUUUACACUGAAUGGGCAGAUCCCAGCGGAAAUUCAACGUCUGAUUAAUCUCAUGCGAACAAGGUUUGACUUGAGAUUCAUGUAUCAUCUUCACGGAUCUUUAGUGCCCAUUGCUCGUUCUACUCUUUUGUACAAAACAUUAUAUGAGCAGCUAGAGAUAUCCACUAUGGACAAAGCAAGAAAGGACGUGAUUCUUUUGGGUCUCCCUCUCUUGUCUCAGUGGAAGGGGCUCGUAGCCACGAACUGGCUACUGAAGUGCACAUUUGACCACAAGCAGAAAGAGUACAAUGAUGGUUUGGGCAGAUAUACACGUCCCCCCCUCCCUCUAUGGCGCCUAACAGUGCAGAGGCGGAGGGUAAAAUGGAGAUUCCAGGUGAAAUUGUUAACAGUAAGGCCUACAGGACUGCUACAGAAACUGGGAAGAAAAUUGGUAGAACAAUUCUCAAAGGAAUGCGGAAGAGUGAGCUUGCUGGUCUGUGUUACACUGAUUUCAGCAUUGCAGACGUUUUUGUCAGUACGUCAGGCCAAGCUGAAAGGAGUCCGGCGCAUCAAGUUUUGUAUGACGCAGCAAUUUAACAACUAUGGCGCAGUGUGUGCAAUCAUGACGGAGCUAUUUACACUGAAUGGGCAGAUCCCAGCGGAAAUUCAACGUCUGAUUAAUCUCAUGCGAACAAGGUUUGACUUGAGAUUCAUGUAUCAUCUUCACGGAUCUUUAGUGCCCAUUGCUCGUUCUACUCUUUUGUACAAAACAUUAUAUGAGCAGCUAGAGAUAUCCACUAUGGACAAAAGCAAGAAAGGACGUGAUUCUUUUGGGUCUCCCUCUCUUGUCUCAGUGGAAGGGGCUCGUAGCCACGAACUGGCUACUGAAGUGCACAUUUGA
rnacentral:rRNA from 1 species